CGACGGGCGGGAAGAGGGGCGCGGGUCUCCCGGCCGGAAAGGCCGCGUGGGGGCCGGAGUCUCUGCCUCCUGGAUUUUCACCAGGGAAAGUGAGGGCAGGUGGGGGGCUGGCCCCACCCAGCUGGCCCUUCGCCCCGUCCCUGGCUCCCUAGCGGCAGGGGACAGGCGCCCUUGGAUUUGCCCGUUAGGGAAAGCAGCGCUCACGCGGCGCUCUGCCGCGGGCUGGGGCUCCCCGCCGAGACGACUCUCGGGCCAGGCCGCCCGCGGGGAGUUCAGGGAGCAGAGAGGCCCCAGCUCCGCCCCGUGGCCCCCGGCCCCAGCGCCCCGCCAGGCUCCCAGCGAGCGGGCCCCAGCUCGGCCGCCAGGACGCCCGCUUCCGAGUUGCCGAGGGGAUGAGACGGGGAACGCUCAGCGCCUGACGGGACAGAAAUAGCGUCCAAGGUGCAGCUGCCCGGCAUUACCAGGGACCCCGAGAUUUUUUUUAAAUGCAUAGUGGCAUCAGGGAAUUCAAGGGCUUUGCUGAUGAGAAAAUGCACAUCUGUCCCCCCUUAGGCGGAAAAGGCUUUUAUGAGGACGACAGGAAGAAAGGACCCAGUUCCAUCUGUGUCUGGAGAGUUUGAUCUGGAAGGCAGUAAAGACGCCAAGGCCAAAUCGUAUUGACUCUCACCUUGCAAAGCCAGCCUGCGUAAGACCUCAUUAAUCAAAAAGUCAAUUCCCCAUUGUUAAAUAUCAGAUCAUAUCUCAGCCUUUCUUUGGAAAAAGGAAGCCUAGAUUUUUGCUUCCAUGUGCAGAAGGACUUCUUCUGCAACAUCCCUGAAAUAGUUUCUGAUUUCCCUAUUCCUUGUGUUGCCUUGUUUUUCUUUCUCAUCUGUGAUGGUUAGGUUCAUGGGUCAACUGGGCCAGGUGAUGGUGUCCAGGUGUCUGGUCAAGCAAGCACUGACUGGCCUAACCGUUACU